CCACCGCUCUCAGCGGCAGAACGGAGCGGAGCUGUGAGGCGCUAGCGCGGAGCGGGCGGGCCGGCGGCGCAAGGCGGAGCGCGGGCAGCCGGCGAAACUCCCAGGGCGGACCGCGGCGGGGAGUUAUCGGCCCCUGGCUGCGGGAGCCGGAGACCGCGGCGGCGGCGGCUGCUGCUGCUGCUGGAGGAGCCCAGGGGACACCACCCCUGCCUGCGCUCUGCCUCGGGCCAUCGCUGCUCCCCAGGGGCCCGUGCGGACUCGCCUCGGUGAAGUGUCACGAUGUCUGACCGGAAGGCAGUGAUCAAGAACGCAGACAUGUCUGAGGACAUGCAACAGGAUGCCGUUGACUGUGCCACACAGGCCAUGGAGAAGUACAACAUAGAGAAGGACAUUGCUGCCUAUAUCAAGAAGGAAUUUGACAAGAAAUACAACCCUACCUGGCAUUGUAUCGUGGGCCGAAAUUUUGGCAGCUACGUCACACACGAGACAAAGCACUUCAUCUAUUUUUACUUGGGUCAAGUUGCAAUCCUCCUCUUCAAGUCAGGCUAGGUGGCUGUGGUGAAGGUGUCAGUGGCGACGGCAGCGAUGGCAAGCAGGCGGCGUUGCUGGGACUGUUUUGCACUGGGGCCAGCAUCAGGAUGUCCUCUCCAAUGGCUGUGCUACUGCAUGGACUGUAUACUCGAUUUCAUGUGUAUGUUGCAGUAAACAAAACCAAACCUCUUUCUGUUUAGUUGCCUGGGGAAGAAGGCUGCUUUAUGUUUAUUUUUCAAGACUUUAAAAAUAUUUUUUGGUUGUAUUGCACUAGGAAAUCUCUCCCAUCUCUCCCUUUUCUCUUUCUUUCGCUAUACAAAAUAACAGGCCCUCCACAAAUACUAGGAGGCUGAAAGACUAGGAGGGCUGAGGAAAAGAAAUAGGUCUCUGGAGGUGGAACUAAAACUGUGCAGCUGCCUCUUCCUGGCGGUGGAUGCUGCUUUGGGAGGGCCAGGGAGUCUGCAGGGGGACAGUGUUGGGAUUGUCAAGGAGAAAGGGAUAGGAAUGAGGUGGAGGGAUUGAUCUAGUACCAGGGAGAAUAUUCCACUGAACUGUGAUUCAAUGGCUUGGGGCAGAGGGGGUGGGGAGGGGAUGUGUUCUUUAGGGGGCCCUGAGAUGUGUUUGUCUGUGGUGUGUGGGAGUGGGGAGCAGACUUGUCUUGCUGUCUUGUCAGAAUUUCUAAGUAAGGGCUGUGUCUUUGUGGAUUACCUUCUUUUGUUCUUCCUACCAGAGAUCAUGACAGGAGGAUGUUGGGGGUAGGAUUAGCUUGAAUUUUUUUUUUUUUUCUUUACAUUCUUCUUGUCUGCUCCCUGCUUAGCCCUCAGUUUUCUCAUUCCUCUGGAGUUCUCUUAGAGCAGCCCCUGUUGUUAGUUGGCUGGCAAGGGAAUUUCUGGUGACUGUAGUUCCUUAGUUAGGUGUUAGCAAUCAAACCAAAUCGAUGUCUCCCUUGAUUCUCCUGUGUGUGUGUGUGUGUGUGUGUGUGUGUAUGUGUAUAUAUAUGUGUGGGGUUUGGGGUAGAGGGGAGGGAGGGGGUAGGACAGUGUGGAAUCUCUAGGGUGUAUGGGUAGGUAGAGGACACAGUUCUAAGUGGGCCUUUAUGUUAAAAGCUUCUGGGAAUACCUGUUUUGGAAGUAAAGAUAGGUGUCCACUCCUUGCUGUCAUCUGGCCCAGACACUCUGCUUGCUCUCUGGCUGUCUGCUCCCUGGGAAGGCUUUAGGAGGACCACCCAGGACAGGAUGACCAUGCUGCCAUCUGCUCUGGAGCUGGGUCUCUGUGCAGAGGGACAGUGACUGGAUGGUUGUAGUCUCUCGUGGGAGGUGAGGAUGGAAGUGAUAACGAGCUGAGAGGAGCUUCUGGGGAGCCUUGGAGGAGGUCAGUCUUGUAGUGAUGAAGCCAGAUAGCAGGAGAUGGAGCAGGGCUGUGAGGGGAGGAGAUUCCAAGGAGGAUGCAGGGGAAAUCUUGUCUGUUAAUGUAAUAGGAGUAGGGUGGGGUUUGGGGUGGGGUGGUCAUUGCCGUUUGAGCUGCUGAUUCUCAUGAGUCGCCUUCAAAACUCUCGUGUAGGGUUGACAAUGUGGGGGGUGGGGAAUCCAACUUAUUUUAUUUUCAAGUCCAUUCUUGGGGCUAGUGGGGAGGCAGGAGAAUGCCCCUCCCUAAGCCCUUAGUGUGUGCUGAGCUUGCUUUUCGAUGUUGGCAGGGGAGGGAGGACCUGGGUGGUGACUGAGUUCUAUAUCAAACCCUUCAAUGGGCACAAAAUUGAGUGCUUGAUUUUAGGUUUUAUUUUUUUAUGAAUGUCCAAAUCUGUUUCCCCCUGCCCUCCCAGACUGUGUGGCCAGUUGAAAGUGUCUAGUUUGUGUUCAUCUCUCCCUCAUUUCUGGAGCAGGGCCUGAGACCCUGCCACAUCUCCUAUGCUCUGCAUCCACGCCUCUUUUGGACAUUAAAGGUUGACUGAUGCACCUCUGCGCUGUUUGGGUCUCUUUGGGGGUUAAGGGGUUGGCCUAGUGGCAGUGGUGCCACACAGUGGGUGACGGUGGAGGAUUCCAGGAUGGAGUAGAAUGGGGACUGAAGAGAAGACCAGGCACAACAUACUGAUUGACCUGAAGCAGCACUUAUUUGUGCCUAGGCUUAUGCCCCUUAAGUGGAAGAAAACUAGCCAGCAGCACUCACCCUCAAGGGCUCCUGGGUCCUACCUUCCUUGGUGGUGAUGACCAGGUGAGCCAUAUUUUGUGUCUUUGGGAUAGUAGCUGCUGCCUUCCUAGCUGCCAUCAUGGACCUGCCUGAGCUUGGCUUCUUCAACUUUUGCCCAAAGUUCAUCUCUUUCAUACUCUUCCCUUCUCUGCUUCCCUGAACCUGGGAACUAUUUAGCAAAGGGUCUGGCCACUCAGAAAUGGAAAGCUGGGAGUAUUCAGAAAGAUGGAGCCUCUUGUGGUGGAACCUAAGUGAUUCUCGGACUCCUAUUGCCCAGACACAACUUGAGAAAUCUGCAGUGCCAAGACUGAGCGUGUCUGCCCACCCCUGACUACAAUGUUGUAUGGCUGCAAUCCUGAUGGAGGGGUUAGGGAGCCAGAGGUGCUUUGGCUUCUUUGUGUUAACCGUUUAUUUACUCAAAAACAUUUAAGAGUUCUUGUAUGCCUGGGCUUAGGAUGCUGUUCGUACAGUAGAAUGAGACAGGCAAGUUCUAGGCUUCUGUGACAUGCAGGCUGUUAUGUGUAGAGCAGACAUACACACCCCGAUCAACUUUUUCCAAUGGUGAUAAAUGUGUUAUCAAGGGAAUGAACUGGGCAAUCAGUUAUUGAGUGUUAGAGGUAGAUAGAUAGGGUUCCUCCAGUUAGGAAGGAGGUUGGAUAAUCUUGGCGAGAAGCUCUACAUCUGGGGCAGUGAGGUCCUAAGGGAUUAAGAUUAAAAAAAAAGGGAGAGUAGAGCCCCAACUUCUGUUACUGCCUUAACUGACAUAAGUAAUUUGACAGAGCUGGAGCUUUGGGAGGGAGAGUGAGGCCACAGUUCACAUUUCAUCAGGAAUGAGUAUCUCCAGGGCCAAAGCUUAUCUGCUUCCUGCCCUGAUGAAAGGGGUAGUCUAGUGGCAUCUUUGAACAACACAUUUCCUGCACAGGUAGUAGGUGCACACUGCUCAUCUGGAAGGCUAAUCCUGCAGGGCUUACUGGAGGAGAUGAGCCUCCACUCUGUGGGGCCCAGCAUAGGAAAAGAUGUGAGCAUGUGUCACUGAAGGGACUGUGGAAGGCAGAUGGAAAUUGUGGGAUUGUCUCAGAAGAACUCAGUGGCUAUUAUAAAUGUU